ACGACAUACACACAGCUUUCUUAAUAUGUGCGAUUGUAUUCACAGGAGAUGAAAAAUCCAGUGUCCUCCAUAUUCGUGUUAACAGCUUGAAAAUGGUACGCUUUCUCUGAUUACUCUCUCACUAUUUUAUCACAGACAUUGAAGACCAAGUUUCCUCUGUCAUCAAGCAAAACCUGUUUCAUCAACCGAGUGACUGCAGUAUAGGGUAAUCCACCAAUAUCUUUCCUUCACCAUCAUUGAUUGCUCUCUCUCUCUGGUCAUCACAGAAAUUCAAGACAAUUCAGACCGACAACCUUGAUGCGAAAAGAGUGCCUCUGUCAGGCGUUGUCGGUCUACCUGAACAAAGACCCGGAGAAAGUGGUGAAAGAACGCAUGGACUCUGAUGUUGACAAGGGUUAAGCCGAAAUGGAGACUGUCUUCGGAGUAUUUGUGAUUCGCAGAGAAGGUGCAGAACGUGAUGAUGGUCCAGAGGAUGUGGGCAUCAUUUUGGAGGGGGUACAAGUUCUCAAUGAGCUGGGUAAUGUAGCAGUAGCAGUUGCAAUGCUGUUCACAUUAGUUUAUGCACUCAAUCUCAGCUACCCCUCAGAGUGGAAAUACACUUUCGAAGCUCUGCAGAAACUCAUCAUGGGGCUUGAUGGACAGAGGUUGUCUAAGAAACUGCAGGUGCUGAAAACCCUACUUACGCGUUAAUAUUUUGUUGGGUAGCUGUUAGAGGUCUUCAACAACGAAAGUAUCCCAGAGUCAUGUUGGGGAGGCAGGUGGGGAGUCGUUCAGUCAAUAUUAGUGUUUUAAAAUGACAGUCUGUUUUUAUGUUUCAAUGCUCCCAGUUGUUGCAAAAAUGUGGAGAAGCCUUCUGUUCCGUGUUAAUCUAUUUCUGUGUUAACAAUGCUUCAAAUUGUUGCCUUGUUUGAAUUUGAAGGACAUGUGUAUGAGUAUUUCAGACUAUUUUUCCAUUAAAAAAGAAAGAUGACAAUAGGUAAAUCUGUUUCAUCUGAUUUUGAAUUUUAAAAUGAGACUGAAUUUUUAGCAUUGCAUAUUAUAGCAUUGAAAGACUCGUACUCGUCAUCUUCUGCUUCA